CGACCCUGAAGCCCUAGUUGCUUCGCGUUGGGACUCUACUGGCUACCCUGUAGUUCCCUAAUGACAGUGGCGGAGUUCAGGUGUACUCUCAGCGUAGUAAUUUCUUCUCGCUUUUGCAGUAGCCUGGUCGCCGGCCGUAAAACCCCCUAUUUUCUAGU
rnacentral:misc_RNA from 1 species